UACGUAGGGUGCAAGCGUUAAUCGGAAUUACUGGGCGUAAAGCGUGCGCAGGCGGUUAUGUAAGACAGAUGUGAAAUGCCCGGGCUUAACCUGGGAACUGCAUUUGUGACUGCAUGGCUAGAGUUUGGCAGAGGGGGGUAGAAUUCCACGUUUAGCAGUGAAAUGCGUAGAUAUGUGGAGGAACACCGAUGGCGAAGGCAGCCCCCUGGGUCAAGACUGACGCUCAUGCACGAAAGCGUGGGGAGCAAACAGG
rnacentral:rRNA from 1 species